rnacentral:rRNA from 1 species
UACGGAGGAUGCAAGCGUUCUCCGGAAUGAUUGGGCGUAAAGCGUCCGCAGGUGGCAAUGUAAGUCUGCUGUUAAAGAGUCUAGCUCAACUAGAUAAGAGCAGUGGAAACUACAUAGCUAGAGUACGUUCGGGGCAGAGGGAAUUCCUGGUGUAGCGGUGAAAUGCGUAGAGAUCAGGAAGAACACCAGUGGCGAAGGCGCUCUGCUAGGCCGUAACUGACACUGAGGGACGAAAGCUAGGGGAGCGAAUGGG